CCAGCUCCUAGAGGUGUUACAGGUGUGGCUGCUAGGUCAUUUGUGUGUCAGUAAGUGGCAGAGGGGAGAGAGGCUAUGUCUAUGUUCAAUGUUCUGACCUAUGAACAUCUGAAUGAUUAGAAGCCUAGCAUU